ACUGGGAUAACUCCGGGAAACCGGGGCUAAUACCGGAUGCUUGUUUGAACCGCAUGGUUCAAACAUAAAAGGUGGCUUCGGCUACCACUUACAGAUGGACCCGCGGCGCAUUAGCUAGUUGGUGAGGUAAUGGCUCACCAAGGCAACGAUGCGUAGCCGACCUGAGAGGGUGAUCGGCCACACUGGGACUGAGACACGGCCCAGACUCCUACGGGAGGCAGCAGUAGGGAAUCUUCCGCAAUGGACGAAAGUCUGACGGAGCAACGCCGCGUGAGUGAUGAAGGUUUUCGGAUCGUAAAGCUCUGUUGUUAGGGAAGAACAAGUACCGUUCGAAUAGGGCGGUACCUUGACGGUACCUAACCAGAAAGCCACGGCUAACUACGUGCCAGCAGCCGCGGUAAUACGUAGGUGGCAAGCGUUGUCCGGAAUUAUUGGGCGUAAAGGGCUCGCAGGCGGUUCCUUAAGUCUGAUGUGAAAGCCCCCGGCUCAACCGGGGAGGGUCAUUGGAAACUGGGGAACUUGAGUGCAGAAGAGGAGAGUGGAAUUCCACGUGUAGCGGUGAAAUGCGUAGAGAUGUGGAGGAACACCAGUGGCGAAGGCGACUCUCUGGUCUGUAACUGACGCUGAGGAGCGAAAGCGUGGGGAGCGAACAGGAUUAGAUACCCUGGUAGUCCACGCCGUAAACGAUGAGUGCUAAGUGGUUAGGGGGUUUCCGCCCCUUAGUGCUGCAGCUAACGCAUUAAGCACUCCGCCUGGGGGAGUACGGUCGCAAGACUGAAACUCAAAGGAAUUGACGGGGGCCCGCACAAGCGGUGGAAGC
rnacentral:rRNA from 1 species